rnacentral:rRNA from 1 species
UCNNNNNNNNNNNNNNNNNNNNGACGAAAAAUGAAUACCAAGUCUCAAGAGUGAACACGUAAUUCAUUACGAAGUUUAAUUCAUUGAGCAUCAAACUUUUAAAUUGAAGAGUUUGAUCAUGGCUCAGAUUGAACGCUGGCGGCAGGCCUAACACAUGCAAGUCGAACGGUAACAGGAAGCAGCUUGCUGCUUUGCUGACGAGUGGCGGACGGGUGAGUAAUGUCUGGGAAACUGCCUGAUGGAGGGGGAUAACUACUGGAAACGGUGGCUAAUACCGCAUAACGUCGCAAGACCAAAGAGGGGGACCUUCGGGCCUCUUGCCAUCAGAUGUGCCCAGAUGGGAUUAGCUUGUUGGUGAGGUAACGGCUCACCAAGGCGACGAUCCCUAGCUGGUCUGAGAGGAUGACCAGCCACACUGGAACUGAGACACGGUCCAGACUCCUACGGGAGGCAGCAGUGGGGAAUAUUGCACAAUGGGCGCAAGCCUGAUGCAGCCAUGCCGCGUGUAUGAAGAAGGCCUUCGGGUUGUAAAGUACUUUCAGCGGGGAGGAAGGUGUUGUGGUUAAUAACCGCAGCAAUUGACGUUACCCGCAGAAGAAGCACCGGCUAACUCCGUGCCAGCAGCCGCGGUAAUACGGAGGGUGCAAGCGUUAAUCGGAAUUACUGGGCGUAAAGCGCACGCAGGCGGUCUGUCAAGUCGGAUGUGAAAUCCCCGGGCUCAACCUGGGAACUGCAUUCGAAACUGGCAGGCUUGAGUCUUGUAGAGGGGGGUAGAAUUCCAGGUGUAGCGGUGAAAUGCGUAGAGAUCUGGAGGAAUACCGGUGGCGAAGGCGGCCCCCUGGACAAAGACUGACGCUCAGGUGCGAAAGCGUGGGGAGCAAACAGGAUUAGAUACCCUGGUAGUCCACGCCGUAAACGAUGUCUACUUGGAGGUUGUGCCCUUGAGGCGUGGCUUCCGGAGCUAACGCGUUAAGUAGACCGCCUGGGGAGUACGGCCGCAAGGUUAAAACUCAAAUGAAUUGACGGGGGCCCGCACAAGCGGUGGAGCAUGUGGUUUAAUUCGAUGCAACGCGAAGAACCUUACCUGGUCUUGACAUCCACGGAAGUUUUCAGAGAUGAGAAUGUGCCUUCGGGAACCGUGAGACAGGUGCUGCAUGGCUGUCGUCAGCUCGUGUUGUGAAAUGUUGGGUUAAGUCCCGCAACGAGCGCAACCCUUAUCCUUUGUUGCCAGCGGUCCGGCCGGGAACUCAAAGGAGACUGCCAGUGAUAAACUGGAGGAAGGUGGGGAUGACGUCAAGUCAUCAUGGCCCUUACGACCAGGGCUACACACGUGCUACAAUGGCGCAUACAAAGAGAAGCGACCUCGCGAGAGCAAGCGGACCUCAUAAAGUGCGUCGUAGUCCGGAUUGGAGUCUGCAACUCGACUCCAUGAAGUCGGAAUCGCUAGUAAUCGUGGAUCAGAAUGCCACGGUGAAUACGUUCCCGGGCCUUGUACACACCGCCCGUCACACCAUGGGAGUGGGUUGCAAAAGAAGUAGGUAGCUUAACCUUCGGGAGGGCGCUUACCACUUUGUGAUUCAUGACUGGGGUGAAGUCGUAACAAGGUAACCGUAGGGGAACCUGCGGUUGGAUCACCUCCUUACCUUAAAGAA